rnacentral:lncRNA from 1 species
CCCUUAUUGUCUGAAAAUGCAAAUUUCUUCUUGCCUGCACACAAUCUGAUAUUCUUUUUCCCUAUCAUCAUUUUGCAGGCGUAGGCGGAGAUGUGGUAGAAGACUAGAUCAAUCCUAAGGUAUUGUACAUUUGAAGAUCUUUUUUGUUUGUCUUGCUUUCCUUGAAGUGAUACUACUAUCCUGGUGCUGCUUUUAGGCAUUUCUAUUAUCUGGGAAUUUGCUUCCUUAUGAUAAGCUUUUGUUUCCUCCGGGAGAAAUGUUAUGAGACAUGGACAAUCCCAUGUAUUUUAGUCUGACGGAAGAAUGUUGUUGGAGUAUAUAUACCUACUGAAAUAUAUAUCUUUUAUGGCAACUUUACCAUUCACUUACAUAUGCUUGCUCUUAUCCCUGGUUUUUCAGUGAACUUUUGUCAGAUGACCAAAAGAAAGCUUGCUUUGUAUUUGUCUAUUAAUACAAAAAUAUUAAUUCUUCAUAAUGCAGGACAUAUCUGAGGCAAUCUUGCGCAAAUUCUGUUGGGUGAAGAAAUUCUAGGUCCAUGUACGCGAGGAUAUUAAGCACUGGUAAGAACGCUAACAAAUUCACAUGACCAGAAGAACGUCAAUUCAGCAUUACAUGCAUGCCGAAGAAGAUCAGCUUCUAUUUCUUGAAGAAAUAGAUCGACAAGUAAAGUAAGAAUUCAAGAUAACGACAUGACAAUUAACCAACCAGACGAAACAAGCAUAUUAUCCUCUGAUGAAGAAAUUGACAACAAGAGAUAAAGACCAAAGCAGAUUGUUUGCAAUACCAAUGAAAUAUAAUAUACUUUACUGGAUUAUCCUUUUUAUUUGCACAUGUUUGAGGUGUGCGUUUUAGGUGUGCUGCACCGGCUGUUGUUCCCGAUACGUUAUGUGGAUGGAUUAAAAACAACACCGGUCUUAGAUAUGUGGAGUGAGAGCACUCCUUAUUAUUGAGUUUGUAGGUGUGAGUGGUGGCUUUGGGUGGAUUGAUGUAUAUUCUUGUUAGACCUUUGUGGAAUAAUUAAUAAAAUGGCUGCAUGCAUCGAUUGAUGCAGAGGCCGGGGGUUUAACCUCUUUUUCUAAAUAAAAAAAAAUGUAUGGCAUCUAGCUAUGUGACAUAUUAUCAUAAUCCGGUAUCUACCUUGUUGUAUUUCUCUGUUCAUACACGUAUGUAUGCACCUAGCUAUGUAAUAUAAUCAAACAAUCCAUAUUAUCUAUUGUACCUUUCUCACACAAGCAUACAAUCUUUCCAUAAGCAUAUACCUGCUCAUGAAAAAUUCACAUAAAAAUGACCUAUCAAAACACAAUAUAUUAUGGUAGCAGACUCGAGAAACAAUAGAUUACGUUGCAAUCUAAGAAAUAAUGGACUAAGAUCAGGCGCGCACCUUUGCCUGCUAGUGUUUAUUAAAACUCAAGAUAGAUUCUCUUAUUGUGUCGUAAUCAGGUGUCGAACACUAUUGGUAGGCGAGUGUAUUGGACGUAAUUUAUUUGCUGAUGAUUGCAUAAAAAAUUAUGAGACACUUAACUUUCUAAUGAAUAAAUCUUCAGGUACAUAACGUCGGUGGUCAAGCCAUGUGUAUCAUCAGGAUGGAAGCGCACGGGUCCACCUCAGAUGGCGUCACAAGAUGGCGCCCCAGCCUCUAGUCAAGCUUCAAGCGAACAAUGAGUUGAGGUUAAUCGGCUAGGCCAACAGAAUCAAUCUGACGGCUAGCUAGGACCUGGAGAAAGAUAUCAUCUUCACGUGAGGAAGAGAUAUUCAUUGCGGCCAUAAUACGGAGUACAUAGCGUCGCAUUUUUAAAGAUGCUCAUUAUAACAAGCCUUAUCAUAAAAGGCUUACUAUUUUCUUUAUAAUAGGUGCUACAACUUCUAGGCUCGUCAUUGUUCGGUAUCUUUCGUGGGCAAUGCCGUGUAGAACUCGACAAGCAUUCCACGGUAGUGCUUGGAUAACUAGGAAUGGAAGGCCUAGGGGAAUUAGACUACAGCAGUGUCUAGAAUGGCUGUGAGUCCCGGCGUGUUGGAAGUUGCACAAUCUAUAAACCAUGUGCAACGCAACAAAGAUUGUGUAGGAGGUACAGUGUAGAAGUAGACCUUGUUGAAUUGCCAAUCACGUUUUGACGUUGAUUGGGAUCCCAACGUUGUUGGCCUUGUUGCAACAAGCUGGGACUGAACCUCCUCUACUCACGUUUCCAUCAGCGUUUAAAAAUAAAAGAAAACAUGCUAAUAUAACUUAAGGCAUUCUUACACAUGUAAGCAGAGUUUCGAACAUGUAACACAUUCUGUGGUAGAAAAAUAGGUACAACAAGAACAAGAUGGCUGCUGAGAUCCACUCGUUGGCGCUCGACUAGACCUCACUAAUUGUACUUCUGGCAUGUCAGAGAGGUUACAAUCAUCAUAAUCAAUUUUAGCUGCAACGUAAAAGAACAACCAAUACUAUCAAUCAUUUUAGGCCUGUACCAAUGCAAGUCUCAU